rnacentral:sRNA from 1 species
CGUUUGGUCCGAGGUCGGUGGGUUAUCAAUUUCUGAACCCCUCCCAUCGACAAUCACUUGACCGAUGC